GAAGGGACAGGGGCCCCGCGGGCAGGACAAGGCGGGCGGCUCUCCCUCUGAGGACAGCGCCCGGUACCAGGAAGACUUCUCUGCUGCUCGAGCUGAGCCCGCGAGGGCUGUAAUUAAUUGAGACAGGACAAGAUGCUUUAAAAAUUUUAUGAUCGAUUUGCAUAAUGGAUCUUUGUUUUAAAAAAAGGAAAAGAACAAAACGCAAGCUCUCAGGCAUCCUGGCGAAGCUCCCCCUGCAGACGCGACCUGCCAGAAGCCAGCAUUUCUGACCACAGAGCUUUUCCACGAAAAAUCAGGUUUAUUGCCUUUUCUCGUCUGAUUAUAUAUAUAAAACAACAACAACGCAGGCUCACUGGAUGAGGUUUGGGGAGUGCGGAAAGGGACAGCGACGCUUUAAUAUCUUGCCACGGGAAGGAUCUGGCAGUGAUGGAUGGUGUGUUUUCUGUUCUUACCUCGGAAGUGGUCCCCUGAUAGCCUCUCCUGUAGCAGCACCAGCUUCCGUGCACUUCAUAAAUUCCUCUGGCAGCCCAGCCGACGGCCCCGUGUACUUUUAUUACUGGAGGCUAAUUGCCCCGUCUCCGUCUGCCCCUGGGAUGGAGAAGGCUUCUGCGGGCGGGGGGAGGGAGGGGGGCGCUCUGGGGGAGGAAGCCUCUCGGUUCCGGCACGGCAAUGGGGAAGAGUACGGAAACCAGGCCGAGGCAUCAGAGCAGGUGUCUGACGAGCGCUCCCUGCUCGCUCAGCAAAAGGCGAAGCAGCCACACGCCUCUGUCACUUAACCUUGGGGGCAACUUGCCAAGGAGGUGGUGUCACUGAACCAUUUUCCAGAUGAGGAAGCUGAGGGAGAGGUGGCUUGCCCGAGGUCACACAGCUAGUGGGAGCCAGAGCAGAGGCUCAACCCAGGCCACCUGAGCUGCAGUGCCGCUGAAGCCAGGAAAUUGUACGUACGAAAGACGGCGCGGAAGCUGCAGCGGGCAGGUUUUUAAGAUGGCUGCCAGGGGUACACCCUUACGGGUCUCGUCCCUUCAAGUGGGCGGGACUCAGAGUAUGAUGAGACGUCACUCCGUGGAUAGGUUACAUGCGACGGCAAGGUGAGGUGACCCGGCAGAUGGGACCGAAGUCUCUACUUGGCGGCCUUUAAGUUCGUUAAAAGGGAGAUGGUUCUGGGUGGGCCUGACCUAAUCAGGUGAGCGCUUUAGCUGAAAAGCCUAGAAGUCAGAGAAGAAAAAAGUCGGAGAGAUUUGAAGCAGCAGAUACUCCUCUGUUGACCUUGAGAAAAUAAGCUGCCAUAUUGUGGAGGUGGGGGGAAUCACAUGGAAAGGAAGGGCAGGUGACCCCUAGGGGUUGAGGGUCUCAGUCCUACAACUGCAAGGAGCUGAAUUCGUACGACAACCAGAGCAUUGGGAAGAGGGACCCUGAGUCUAUGACGCGAGAGCUAUUGUGGGAGGUCAUAAAGAGCAUGUGGUCACCAGUUGACCUUCAGGCUGGUCAGCCAAUGGACACUCAUCACUCCCUCCCCCGUCCUUGGACGGUACAUUCUGCUUGCCUCCCCCAUUCCCAGAGGCUGCCCCAAAUUUACAGCCUUGAGAUAGCUUGUGUUGACAGCCUGUGGGUGUGUGGGGGCCAGAUUCAGAUGGCAUCCGAGGAGCUCCCAGCCCUGGCUGCCACCUUGAUUUCAGCCUAGUGAGACCCUGAGCAGGGGACCCAGCUAACCUGGACCUUGGCUCUCGACCUUUGGAAACUGCAAGGCUGCAGCCAAAAGACAGAAAGGGAGUCCUACACAUCAAAAGUGGAAGCGAAAACGUAGCAAUCACGUCCUUUGAACAAACACCCUAAUCAUCUUUCCGAGGCUGUGUGCCGGGUUGCCACGGGGCAUUUGUGUUAAGAAUGACACCCUCUGCUGCUUCUGUUCCGGCAAGUCACAGCUUCAAAGCCCCUCCGUGUGCUUGUCAAGACCCAGUCUCACCAGGCAGAAGAAAGGACUCUUAAGGAUUCCAGGAUGCUGUGCUCUAAGCUGGAGGCAGUCCUGCUGUCACAAAUGACAGCAUGAAUGGCCCGUCCUGACUGACGUGUGGCCCCACCGAAUCCCCCACACAGCCCGUGAGACAAGUGGGUGUUUGCCUUACUUCACGGAUGAAGGAAAUGAACCUCACGAGGUUGUGAUCUCAUGGCUUCGUGGGUUUGAGCCCCAAGUCGGGCUCUG